rfam:Mesocricetus auratus contig077075, whole genome shotgun sequence.
GGGUGUGAGGACUGUCCGACUGGGAGGUGUGUCACCAUACUGACUGCCAGGGUUGAUGCUACUGAUCUGGCUCAUUAGGAGGGUACCCGCUUCCUCCGUCGAGGUGGCUCCAUGUGUGUCUCUCCUGAAGCUGUGUGCAUGGUGGAGAAGGAAGACUUCCCUGAGAGACGAGGACAGAUCUUCCAUCAAGGGGCAAGCAGGCAGCUGUGCUCCUCUACUGGAACCUUCAGACAACCUCUCCAGGGUGUAAACUGGCUGGCUAACAACUUUACGUUAAUAAUAGUAGAGACUGGGCGGUGCUC